rnacentral:rRNA from 1 species
AGAGUUUGAUCCUGGCUCAGAAUGAACGCUGGCGGCGUGCCCAACACAUGCAAGUCGGAUGUGCCGCAAGGUGCAUGGCAGACGGGUGAGUAACGCGUGGGGAAUCUACCUCUUUGUGGGGAAUAACGCUCCGAAAGGAGUGGUAAUACCGCAUGAGACCUUCGGCUGGGAUGCUGGAGGUGAAACCUGGGGACCGCAAGGCCUGGGGCAAGGAGAGGAUCCUGCGUCUGAUUAGCUAGUUGGCGGGGUAAUGGCCCACCAAGGCGACGAUCAGUAGCCGGCCUGAGAGGGUGAUCGGCCACACUGGAACUGAGACACGGUCCAGACUCCUACGGGAGGCAGCAGUGGGGAAUUUUGCGCAAUGGACGAGAGUCUGACGCAGCAACGCCGCGUGGGUGAUGAAGGUCUUCGGACUGUAAAACCCUGUCGUCAGGGACGAAGGUGGCACGACUAAUAAUC